GUGGGGAAUCUUGCGCAAUGGGCGAAAGCCUGACGCAGCCAUGCCGCGUGAAUGAUGAAGGUCUUAGGAUUGUAAAAUUCUUUCACCGGGGACGAUAAUGACGGUACCCGGAGAAGAAGCCCCGGCUAACUUCGUGCCAGCAGCCGCGGUAAUACGAAGGGGGCUAGCGUUGCUCGGAAUUACUGGGCGUAAAGGGCGCGUAGGCGGACAGUUUAGUCAGAGGUGAAAGCCCAGGGCUCAACCUUGGAAUUGCCUUUGAUACUGGCUGUCUUGAGUACGGGAGAGGUGAGUGGAACUCCGAGUGUAGAGGUGAAAUUCGUAGAUAUUCGGAAGAACACCAGUGGCGAAGGCGACUCACUGGCCCGUUACUGACGCCGAGGCGCGAAAGCGUGGGGAGCAAACAGGAUUAGAUACCCUGGUAGUCC
rnacentral:rRNA from 1 species